rnacentral:lncRNA from 8 species
UAAACAUAACAUUCACCAAAUGACAACCACCAGACCAGACAACAUCUUUGGUCAAUAUAUGAACUAAGCGUCAUACACAUCUCCCAACGGGCACUCAACAGUACAAAGCAAAAGACCACAUUUAGUGGACGUAAAGGUGACAGAGGGUCCUUCUAAAGCGACAAAGCUCCACACUCUCACCCUUGACCCUCUCACCCUCUCUCGCUGUAUUCAAACAGAUACAAUGGACUCCAGCACCAAACUUGCUCAUUUGUAAGAAAAGAAGGCUGUGGUGUGUUCAGUGGUCCAAGUUGUCAGCACCCCACCAGAUCAGGCCUGGCCCUGCUGUCCCCAUGCUGAGUCUGGGCAGACAGACAGAGCCAUGGAGCGAGAUCAGACAUGAGUGACAGCUGGACUGGACCCCACCCAUUACCAUCCCCACCACUCUCUGACGGUUGGUCACCUGGAAGUUAGUUAACACCCCCGAAGUAGGAUUUGGGGUUUGAUUCAGGGUGCUUGGCCAGUUACAGUUACCCUGCACAAAAGUAGUAGAGAUUCAACUCUGAGUCAUGCUACCAAUGCCCACUGGCUUUUUGUCAAUAUACUACAUUGUUUAGUCAGAGGUCAGACUAGGCUAUGGAGAAUCUCUGACUGAAAACCUCAAGCGUGAUUGAAAUACCC